UUCCGGUUGAUCCUGCCGGACCCGACUGCUAUUUGGGUGAGGAUAAGCCAUGCGAGUUGAAUGGGAAACCUAAAGUUCCCAUGGCAAACUGCUCAGUAACACAUGAUCAACUUACCCUAUAGAGAAAAAUAACCUCGGGAAACUGAGGAUAAUGUUUCAUAGUUGAAUUGGCUUGGAAAAGUUUUUCGACGAAAGGGGUAAAAAAAAUGGUUUUUAUCUGCUAUAGGAUAGGAUCGUGUUCGAUUAUGGUUGUUGAUGAGGUAAUGGCUCACCAAGCCGAUAAUCGAUAGGGGCCGUGAGAGCGGGAGCCCCGAGAUGGGUACUGAGACAACGACCCAGGCCUUACGAGGCGCAGCAGGCGCGAAACCUCCGCAAUACACGAAAGUGUGACGGGGUUACCCAAAGUGUUCAAUAGAACUGUGGUAGGUGAGUAAUGCUCCCUACUAGAAAAGAGAGGGCAAGGCUGGUGCCAGCCGCCGCGGUAAAACCAGCUCUUCAAGUGGUCGGGAUAAUUAUUGGGCUUAAAGUGUCCGUAGCCGGUUUAGUAAGUUCCUGGUAAAAUCGGGUAGCUUAACUAUCUAUAUGCUAGGAAUACUACUAUACUAGAGGACGGGAGAGGUCUGAGGUACUGCAGGGGUAGGGGUGAAAUCUUAUAAUCCUUGUUGGACCACCAGUGGCGAAGGCGUCAGACUGGAACGCGCCUGACGGUGAGGGACGAAAGCCAGGGGAGCGAACCGGAUUAGAUACCCGGGUAGUCCUGGCCGUAAACGAUGCAUACUAGGUGAUGGCACGGCCAUGAGCCGUGUCAGUGCCGUAGGGAAACCGUUAAGUGUGCCGCCUGGGAAGUACGGUCGCAAGACUAAAACUUAAAGGAAUUGGCGGGGGAGCACCACAAAGGGGUGAAGCCUGCGGUUCAAUUGGAUUCAACGCCGGGAAUCACUAGUGCGGCC
rnacentral:rRNA from 1 species